CCUACGGGGGGCAGCAGUGGGGAAUAUUGGACAAUGGGCGCAAGCCUGAUCCAGCAAUGCCGCGUGUGUGAAGAAGGCCUGCGGGUUGUAAAGCACUUUCAGUGGGGAGGAAGGCCUCGAUAUUAAUACUAUUGAGGAUUGACGUUACCCACAGAAGAAGCACCGGCUAACUCUGUGCCAGCAGCCGCGGUAAUACAGAGGGUGCAAGCGUUAAUCGGAGUUAGUGGGGGUAGUGGGUGCGGUCGUGGUUGAGAGCCCCGGGCUCAACCGGGGAAUUGCAUUUGAUACUGAGUAACUUGAGUAUGGUAGAGGGAAGUGGAAUUUCCAGUGUAGCGGUGAAAUGCGUAGAUAUUGGAAGGAACAUCAGUGGCGAAGGCGACUUCCUGGACCAUUACUGACACUGAGGCACGAAAGCGUGGGGAGCGAACAGGAUUAGAUACCCUAGUAGUC
rnacentral:rRNA from 1 species